GGAAAAGUAAUUAAAAGUAGAGAAUCACUAAUAUGAUGCAACCCCUUCGUUUCUCAGGUGUGAAAACUGAGGCCCAGAGAGGUGAUGUGAUUUGCCUAAAGUCAUGCAACUAGUGGCAGAGCCAGGCCUAGAAGCCAAGUGUCCUGGCUCUCAAGACAUUCCGCUGCCCGAGGAAUGGAACAGUGGAAAGACCCUCAUGGAAAGGAACUGAGGAAGACCUUCCAGCCAACAGCCAGCAAGGAGACCUGCCAACGACUGUGUGAGUGAGCUGGGAACUGGAUUCUUCCUCACUUGAGCCAUCAGAUGAAACUGUAGUCCCAACCAACACCUUGCCUGCCACCUUGCGGGAGACCCUGAUCCACAGAAACUGUAAGAUAAUAAAUACUGAUUGUCUUAAGCUGCUAAAUUCCACAGUAAUUUGUUCUGUAAAUAUAGAUAACUAUUACUUGACCUAAGGCUCAAUUUCAAAUUGCAAGCUCUAAACCCUCUAAUAGAUUAUGUUAACUGUGGUAUUUUCAUACUAUGAAUACUCUGGAGUAGUUAAGAGAAGCUAAGUCCAUCUAUGCUAUCGUGGAAAGGCUUUCAAGACACUGGAUUUUAAAAAAGCAAAGUGUGGAGCAAUACUUAUUGUAGGGUAUCAUUCAUGUAAAAGAAAAAAAAGUCCAACAGAACACACAAUAUAUGGUCUAUAGUUACAUGUAAGUUUAUGUAAAUGCAUGUAAAAUGCA
rnacentral:lncRNA from 1 species